CCGGGUGACACCGAAAGCGUGGUAACUGCGCUGUAAAAAGCAUAAACGAUCUGACGAAAGUUGAGCUCGUCGAAGUACUUGGUCCUGUAGGCGAAAAGGAUGAUCUCUGUUUUCCGUCUGCAGUUCGGUGGCAAGACGCAGACACAGUGUGAACGCGUACAGGUCCAAAGGUUUCUGAGGCCUAACAGUCACAUAGUUUGAGGCCGAUUCAGAGCUGAAGACCAGAGACCUCACAUUGACGCCCCUUACAGGACCAAAAUGAACGGUACUCGUCUGGGUCCUGGCCGAUGAUGAUCUGGCCACCGCUGCGAACGUUGUGGCGUUUCUGGUAGAUCUUGGUCAGACUUCUCUUGCCGUCCAUGAAAACCGUUGUGGCUCCGGUGAGAGAUUCCCAUGUAAUGCAC